UACGGAGGGUGCGAGCGUUAUUCGGAAUUACUGGGCGUAAAGCGUGCGCAGGCGGUUUUGCAAGUCAGAUGUGAAAUCCCCGGGCUUAACCUGGGAAUGGCAUUUGGGACUGCAAGGCUCGAGUGCGGCAGAGGAGACUGGAAUUCCUGGUGUAGCAGUGAAAUGCGCAGAUAUCAGGAAGAACACCAAUGGCGAAGGCAGCUCUCUGGGACGGUACUGACGCUGAGACGCGAAAGCGUGGGGAGCGAACAGG
rnacentral:rRNA from 1 species